rnacentral:rRNA from 1 species
GGGUCAGUAGGUUGGUCGUGCCACCGGUACGUACUGGUCUCACUGAUUCCUCCUUCCUGAAGAACCGUAAUGCCAUUAAUUUGGUGUUGCGGGGGAACAGGACUGUUACUUUGAAAAAAUUAGAGUGUUUAAAGCAAGCUAACGCUUGAAUACAUUAGCAUGGAAUAAUGAAAUAGGACGAUCGAUCCCAUUUUGUUGGUUUCUAGGAUUGACGUA